UUUUUUUUUUUUUAAGCGAUUUUUUUUUCCCCACACCGUCUGGACUGCUCCUCGGGAGUUAAUCUUGGCGCUUUCGUCCUUGAAACAACGCUGAUUGUUUCUAGAUCCUGACCUAGUGACAUUCCUCCUUCGAUGUUGCCCUUGCCAGAGGCAAAAGAAAAAGAAAAAGAGCAGUUGAGAGAAAAUAAAUUAAACAUCAGAUGCGUAAAAACCCGCGUCUGUCCAGAACGACCUACUGCUCAUUCUACCCUCGUUCACCUUCAGGAUGCAGCUUCCUCGUUCCCACGGCCACCGUCUAUGUAGGGAGGGUGUUGGGGUGGAGGAGUGAGGGAGGAGGACCCUGGCUACCGCAGGGCUCUGGGACAGGCUCUCCGAGUUCUUGUCCCUCUCUGGGACCCUUGUGGGAAAACCAAGGAAGGGCCACCGAGACACUAAAUGACUAAAAGCUGCCGAAAUGUCUCACGUAGCGCAGCCAACUAAGAAACGAUUCUAGGCUGCCCCUGAAGGGGUUUGAAAAAUAAUCAACGAGAAGCCCACAGCUGACUGUCGUUUCUGUUUGACUUCUCACAUUUUGAAUCUUCCUGAGUGAGGCCAUUUGAGGGAGGGGUUUAGCUUACGUUUAAGGAAAGGUGAUGCACCAGACAUGUUGGCACUCACCUGUAAUCCCAGCACUCGGGACACUGAGGCCGGAGAAUCAAGGGUUCAGCCUGGGCUACAUGGUGAGUUCAAGGCCAACCUGGACCAUAAAGUGAGACCUUGAAGAAGGGUGUAGUACAGCGAUGGCGAACCUUCUAGAGCUUCAACGAUACAGCCCGCGUGGAGAAAGUAGCUCUUUCUCUAGUGAUUCUCAACCACAGGAUGUGGAUCCUUUGGAGGCCAGAGAACCUGAACUUGUCCCUGCUGAGGACCUCAAUCACUUGCUCCUUUUCUGCAUCUUGGUGUGAAUGGACAGGAUGACCCUGGACACCGUGGCCAGGGGCUGUCCGAAGAGCCCCCACCAACCUGUCAUCUAUUUUAAAGGGCUGUCUCAAAGGUUCUUAGGACCUUAUGGUAGCCCAUACCAGCAACCAUCUGUGUACAUCACUGAAAAACCUGCUGUUCACAGCCAGUGCAUACUGGGUACCCAUAAGGAAAGGAACCCAGUUACUGGCACUUUAUUUAUUGUGUGUGUGUGUGUGUGUGUGUGUGUGGAACCAGAAAUUGAACUCAGGCUCUUGUGCUUGACGGGCAGGCACUGAUGCCACUGAGCUAAGCCUCCAGCCCUUUGUUUAAUCUUUAAAGUAUAAAGGAGACACAUUAUUUUUCUUAACCCUGUAAGCAUACAACAACUUUUUUUUUUAUAACAGCGCCUUUGAAAAAUAACUCCCUCCACUGUGGAAA